UAUCUCUGUAGAGUCUGCAUAUCAAUAAGCGGAGGAAAAGAAACUAACAAGGAUUCCCUUAGUAACGGCGAGUGAAGCGGGAAGAGCUCAAGUUUGAAAUCUUCAAGGUUCUACCUUGACGAAUUGUAGUUUAAAGAAGUGUUUUCUGUUAGAUGAGUAGCAAAAGUUCCUUGGAAUGGGACAUCAUAGAGGGUGAGAAUCCCGUAUUUGGUUAUUCAUUCUAGCUUUGUGAUACACUUUCAAAGAGUCAGGAUUGUUUGGGAAUGCAGUCCAAAAUGGGUGGUAAAUUUCAUCUAAAGCUAAAUAUUGGCGAGAGACCGAUAGCGAACAAGUACCGUGAGGGAAAGAUGAAAAGAACUUUGAAAAGAGAGUUAAACAGUACGUGAAAUUGUCAAAAGGGAAGCGUUUGACACCAGUGUUGUUUUUCCGAAAAUCAAUUACGAAUGGCUUGAUUUUGUGUUGUAUUGACCUUAUCAGCUUUCUGCACUUUUUUCGAGUCUUUCUUAAUGCACUUUUCGGUUAACAAGUCAACAUCAAUUUCUUUUGUUGUAAAAGAGUAUUCGGAAGGUGGCUUUCUUUUCGGAGAAAGUGUUUAUAGCCCUAUACUUCUACAAUCGGAGAGAUUGAGGUCUGCAGCGUAGAUCCUUCGGGGUUAGAUACAUUUGUGCUAAGUUGUAGCUUUUCAUAGACAACUUGUUGACUAUGUUUAGUCAUGCGGCUUACUCGCUUAUGCUAUUUUACCUACGCUUAGGAUGUUGAACUACUGAGACAUAG
rnacentral:rRNA from 1 species